rnacentral:lncRNA from 1 species
CAGUUUCCUGCCCUUCACGAAGUGAAUAACUUUGUUCUCCAUACCCUUGCUGCGUGAUGGUCUGCUGAAAUGCACGGGUCUCUAUACACGUGAACCGAACGCUCUGAAGGCCAGAAGCAAAUUAAAGAGUUCCUCUCUUUAAGCCGACUUUCUCAGGAGGGGGAAGCUGCCGCUGGCCAAUUCUCCUUUUGCUUUCUGACCUUAUAGCACACAGGUAUCUCUCUACAUUCACUACAUUUGUUUCCCCUGCAUACAGUCAUAUUUCCCCGUCAUCAAGGUAAUACUUGACUCAUGGCACAGUUCACUAAGGGAAGAAAAAGAAGCCAGCCAUGCUUCCGUGUCGCCUGAAACUCUACAGGGAACCUCUCCAUUUGGUGAAGCAGAACGCAGAACCCACGAUUCGCCCUCUGCUGUCCUGGUCCUCGGAUUCUACAGUUAACUGCAAACAGAUGUUUGUGUUCACGUCUUACAUUUUCUUCCCCACACCUCUGUGGUCUGAAUUGAUCAACUGACUUCGUUUUAAAAGCUCUCUCUCUCUCUCUCUCUCUCUCUCUCUCUCUCUCUGUGUGUGUGUGUGUGUGUGUGUGUGUACUUGGGUGUCUUGGAUGCUAGAGGAGGGCAUCAGAUCCCUAUAGAGCUGUAGUUACAGGGAGUUUUGAGGCACUGAACAUGGGUAUAUGGAAUUGAACUCAGAGCCUCUAGAACCUUAACCACUGGGCCAUACUGCCCUCCCUUCUUUUUUUUGUUUUCCCUCUGUCUCUGUCUUUCUCUGUGAA